AACCUAGCACACCUGCGGUGUGUACCUGCGGAAGGAUCAUUACCAGUACCACCGUCGCCUCCGGGCGUCGGUCUACUACCAACCCUUUGUCAUCCGACCUCGUUGCCUCCGGGUGCGACCCUGACCUUCGGGUCUCGCGUCUCCCCGGGUGGACACACAUCAAAACUCUGCAUAACUUUGUAGUCUGAGUAAAACUUUUAAUUGAAUUAAAACUUUUAACAAUGGAUCUCAGAUCGGAAG
rnacentral:misc_RNA from 1 species